CAACUCUAUUUUAAAGCACUUUCCAUUUUAAAUAUAGCAAUAAAAUAUCAGCCUUGAAAUGUCUGAUAAGGAUAAAAGCAAUAGAUCCAAAUCCAAUCUGAAUCUGACACUGCCAGGAACAAGAAUUCACAUUGAAUCAGAGUCCAUGACACCCUCACCGAAUGACGAGCAAGGACCAUGGAGUACUCUGAUAGCCAAUCCCAAGCCACGUGGGACAUCAGAGGCGGGAAGGUACCUGAACAAAAUCAGGGUCCUUGUAAGAAGGAAGACCAGCUGCGGAGAGAUAAUCCAGAGCAGCCUCUACAGUCAGUGAAGUGGUUUCGGACACUCCGUCAAUGCCAGAUUCGUCACUGACUGACCUGCUUGGACUUGCUGCAAAAGAUUGACGGGGCUCAGGGCUCACAGCCCCCACUCUGGACCUUGUCGGAGCUUCGAGUCUCACUGGAGGUCUCAGCUGCAGAUACCCAGUCCACGGCUGUCCAGCGUGAAAAGGUAAAUUGCCUAGGGGCGGGAAAGGUGACCUCAAGAUCGAGCUCCUUGGUUCCACCUCCCAGGCUCCGGCCAAGUACAGUGUCCCAUCUGGAGCAAAAUCCUUUCAUUAUGGAUUAAAACUGGUGGUCAACUUAAUACCAGCUGAAUGAAAUCAGCAAGAUGCUGAGUGUAGAUGGCCCACCUGAAGAAAGUUGCCAGCACAGGAGAUGUGGAGAGAAAGAGCACGGACUGUGGGUUCCUGUUGCUGUUGUUCAGAGCCAUUGGCUCUCCUGGAGGAGCUUGUCAUGGCUGGCUUCCCUGAUGUGAACUUGACCACUGUUAUUGGAGGAGCUCGGGACCUUUUCACUGAGAGUGGCUGGAGUUCACUUUGGCUGGUCCUUAUACUGAGCAUCACCUCCUGGCUCUGGAGCAGAACAUGUGUGCUGUUUAAUCUCCAGGAGAAGCUUGUCACACUGGCUUCCUGUUCUAAUCAGAAGAGCUCGGGACCUCAUUGUCACUGAGGAUGGCUGUGGUACUUUUCACAUCCUUAUUUUGAGCUUUGCUUCUUGGCUCCUGUGUGGAACCCUCAAUCUACUAGCACACAUCCUUCACCCUGAAGCAUAGACUUCCUAGCUUUCACCGCUGACCUUUGGGUCUUCCCAGCACAAAUCCAUAAAACAGACUUGAAUGAGUUACUGCCAUGGGCUCUAGGCCUCCAGUUGGCUCCUGGGUUCUAGGUCUUCAGCUGGACUCAUGUAGGACAUUGCUGUGGAAUCCAGACCCUCGGCUAGAUUUUCCAGGUCUUUAUAGUGUUGUGAACAGAUUAUCACUCUGUAGAAUGAAAAAUCUCUGGGGGCAUGUCCAUCCCCAUGGAGGGGUCUAAGUAAGGGUGGAUUGGGUAUGAAGCCCUACUAUUCUUCUCCCUGAACCACAGGAACACAAACCAUAGGUGCUAGAAGAGCAAGCAAUGCAAGGAAAAGAUUUUCAGGUGAUUAAACCAAAUCCUGGCUGUUAACUUGGUGGCAAGGCUCACUGCUACAGGUCUUUCUACAACAGUGAACAGUGUGCUGUAAGGUUCAUUGCUUGAGGUCUCAGCAGAGGGUUUGAUGUGUUGCACAGGUGGAUUGGAUUCUGGCCACAGAACAGCUCUGAUGAAGUAAAAGAAUAAUGUUAACAAUUUAAUUUUACUUAAUUUUACAGUUGAACUAAUAAAGUUAUUGAUAAAUUUUUUAAAAUAUAGCUCUGAUGGUCAUAAUGUCUCUCGACUAUCUGUGGGAAUAUAAGCAUGUCCUUGGUCCCAAUUUAAAAGUAAUGUUGGAUCAUUCCAAGUAUCUCUUUGGAGGUCACACCAAGCAGGAUUCAAAAAGGUAAAAAGAAUGUUGUCUUUUGUGUAGCUAGUUAGUUUUUUAGUUUAAGAUGAAUGUGUUCAAUUACCAUUUGAUCUUGGAGAUUUUAGGGGAAUCCUUAUAACAUGCUCUAUACUCCAGUUAUCAAAAUAACUCUGAAAAUAUUUGCUAAUACAGGCAGGAUUGUUAUCAGUUUUUAAUUUUGUGGCACUCCUAAGGUAGCAAAGGCUGAUACACAAUGCUAUACGACAUGCUGACUUUAUUUACCUGAAUGAUAGGUAGUGUGGACCGCAUGAAGAGGGAAUCUAGAGAGGAAUGAAUAUAUUUAAGUUUGUUAGAAGAGGUUAUAUGGGGAAUAAUCAUUUACCAUAACUGAUUAGCUCUAAGAUGUCUGGGAAUUGUAACUGUUGAGGAACAGGCCUAGGAAAGAGCUGACAAGCAGGGCAUGACAUCACAAUUUGUCUAGCUUGUGUUCUGGUAAUGUUAAGUUCUUUUUGCAGAUCUUUAGAUUUUUGAUGAAAAAAUGUAUGGGAUUUUCUCAGUUUAUUAAAAAUGGAAAUCAAGUGUACAAGAGCAUCUGCAUUAUAAUUACCUAGUAACAAUGAACAUGGGAGAUUAUAAUGAGUUCUAAUAGGAUCAAUAAAGAAGGGAGUAGUUCUACUUAAUAUAGCCCUUAGGAGUUUUAACAGUGGUUGUAAUAGGGCCGAGGAUUUAGCUCAGUGGCAUAAGCACUGC